GGGGAAUUUGCACAAUGGGCGCAGCCUGAUGCAGCACGCCGCGUGAGGGAUGACGGCCUUCGGGUUGUAAACCUCUUUUAGCAGGGAAGAAGCGAGAGUGACGGUACCUGCAGAAAAAGCACCGGCUAACUACGUGCCAGCAGCCGCGGUAAUACGUAGGGUGCAAACGUUUCGGAAUUAUUGGGCGUAAGAGCUCGUAGGCGGUUUGUCGCGUCUGCUGUGAAAUCUGGGGGCUCAACCCCCAGCCUGCAGUGGGUACGGGCAGACUAAAGUGCGGUAGGGGAGAUUGAANUCCUGGUGUAGCGGUGGAAUGCGCAAAUAUCAGGAGGAACACCGAUGGCGAAGGCAGAUCUCUGGGCCGUAACUGACGCUGAGGAGCGAAAGGGUGGGGAGCAAACAGGCUUAGAUACCCUGGUAGUCCCCCCGUAACGUUGGGAACUAGUNGUGGGGUCAUUCCCGGAUUCGUGACGCACUACGCAUUANUUCCCCCCUGGGAGUACGCCGCAGGCUAAACUCAAGGAUNGAGGGGACCCCCACAAGCGGCGGAACAUGCGGAAUAANUUCGAUGCAACCCGAAAAACCUUACCAAGGCUUGACAUAUACGAAAACGGGCCAAAAUGGUCAACUCUUUGGACCUCCUAAACAGGGGGGGCAUGGUUGUCCUCAGCUCGUGUCGUGAGAUGUUGGGUUAAGUCCCGCAACGAGCGCAACCCUCGUUCUAUGUUGCCAGCACGUAAUGGUGGGAACUCAUGGGAUACUGCCGGGGUCAACUCGGAGGAAGGUGGGGAUGACGUCAAAUCAUCAUGCCCCUUAUGUCUUGGGCUUCACGCAUGCUACAAUGGCCGGUACAAUGGGCUGCAAUACCGUGAGGUGGAGCGAAUCCCAAAAAGCCGGUCCCAGUUCGGAUUGAGGUCUGCAACUCGACCUCAUGAAGUCGGAGUCGCUAGUAAUCGCAGAUCAGCAACGCUGCGGGAAACUUCC
rnacentral:rRNA from 1 species